ensembl:misc_RNA Metazoa_SRP Metazoan signal recognition particle RNA
GCCGGGUGUGGUGACUCACACCUGUAUUCCCAGCAAUUUGGGAGGCUGAGACGGGUGGAUUACCUGAGGUCAGGAGUUCAAGACCAGCCUGGCCAAUAUGGUGAAACCCUGUCUCUA